rnacentral:rRNA from 1 species
GCUUAGAGAGGGGUCAAUGUCCUAUCAGCUAGUUGGUAAGGUAAUGGCUUACCAAGGCUAAGACGGGUAGCCGGCCUGAGAGGGUGGUCGGCCACACUGGGACUGAGACACUGCCCAGACUCCUACGGGAGGCUGCAGUCGAGAAUCUUUCGCAAUGCCCGAAAGGGUGACGAAGCGACGCCGCGUGUGGGAAGAAGGCCUUCGGGUUGUAAACCACUGUCGGGAGUUAAGAAAUGUAAGGGUGUUAAUAGCAUCCUUACUUGACUAAGGCUCCGGAGGAAGCCACGGCCAACUCUGUGCCAGCAGCCGCGGUAAUACAGAGGCGGCAAGCGUUGUUCGGAAUUAUUGGGCGUAAAGAGCACGUAGGCGGCUUUGUAAGUCAGUUGUGAAAGCCUUCCGCUUAACGGAAGAACAGCAUCUGAUACUGCAAGGCUAGAGUGCGGAAGGG